CGUGUAGGCGGUCAGGUAAGUGGAAUGUGAAAUGCCCCGGCUCACCCGGGGACCGGCACCCCAAACUGCCUGGCUUGAGUAUGGGAGAGGAUGGAGGAAUUCCUGGUGUAGCGGUGAAAUGCGUAGAUAUCAGGAGGAGCACCGGUGGCGAAGGCGUCCAUCUGGCCCAAUACUGACGCUGAGGCGCGAAAGCUAGGGGAGCAAACG
rnacentral:rRNA from 1 species